GGGCCGGUUGUUACCAGCUUCCAGCCCGUGUCAGGCGCGAGCCUGUCUUUUUCUGGAUCAAAUCAAGCGCGAGAAGGGCGNNNNNNNNNNGCUUUGAUCCCAAGAUCUCCGAAUGGGGCAACCCACCUGAUACUCGGUUAUAAUCAGCUCUGCUGUUUAUAAUUGGGUAAAACAGGUACUUUUAACCUGAAUACAUAGGGUUUUAAGAGCAAACCCGGGGAACUGAAACAUCUAAGUACCCGGAGGAAAGGACAUCAAUUGAUACUCCCCUAGUAGCGGCGAGCGAACGGGGACCAGCCGAGCAACGUAGUGAACUGGAACGACCUGGAAAGGUCGGCCAUAGCGGGUGAC
rnacentral:rRNA from 1 species